UAUUUGAUGGAGUUUGGUUAUGUUACGUGACUUAUGUCUUUGACAUUCGACGGAAAUGAAUCAAUAAAAUGCAGUAUGCAGAAGACCUUGAUAUAUCAAACUAUAGUGACAUGUAAUCUGGCUUGCAACUGAGAAGUUUAACCAUGCUUGUGUGACACCGUCUAGGAUGUUCCCUUCUCAGCCCCUGCUAAGAGUGCAACAAUUAAAAAAAAUUAAGGUAAUUUUUUUAUCUACUUGUCUACUAUAUAUGAUGUUUGUAUACCAGUGUGAUUCAGCCGUCAGUAGUGUGUUUUCUUCAAAUAUAUGGAGACAUUGUUCAUUGUUGUCAUGUUGAGUUAUUGGUGGUGUUACCGCAUCGGACUGGGCUUUGUGCUGGUAUGCCAAGUGCCUCACUUUUCUCCCGAUUUCCUCUGAGCAAUAUGUUCCUUCUUUUUUCCUAAAAUUGAACUAUAAAAACCUAAAUAGUUUGGUUAUAUGGUGUUAUAUAUCCUCAUAGUUUCGCUUUUUCUUAUCUGCCUUGAGAAAUGGACAGAGUAGCUUUGGGUAGGAGGAUCAAGUGAUCACCAAAAUAUUGUUUGAUUUUCCAAACUUAUAUUACAGAUUUGAUCACUUUUCCUUACCAAUUUUAUUUUCUAAACCUGUAUUACUGAGAGAUCUGUUUAUUUUUUGGUCCUUGAUUUCUCACUGUAACAAAUCUUUCACUUUUUUUGUGUUGUAAGAUUAAGUGGUAAGCUCUCUUGUCUUUUUUGGCCAUGCCCGAGGUGUGCUAUUGUUCUAUUGGGCACUGAUACAAUCGAUUGCAAUUUGGGUUGCUUGCCUUUUUUCAGUUACAAUAGCUUAUAAAUGCAAAUCUAACUGUUAAACUUCCAUCCAUCUGGCCAAGACUGUUGAAUAAACAUAUGUGAAGCUGGUUACAUGAGAGAAUAUACAACAUCUUGGUAUUGAUUUAGUUGGUUUAUUGCCAUGAUGUUUUUUUCAGAGAAAAGAGUAAUAUUUUAUUUUUCUGUUUUGUGAUGAAUUUUCACUUGAGAGGACGUGACUAUUAAUAUAUGUUGUGAAUUUCUCUGCUGACUUGCAUCCAAGAAUUGUAGACAAUGAUCUGAUGUAACAGAAAUGAAUGAGUGUUCUUGUGUUAAUAGAUAGCAUACUGACUCAUAGUAUGCCGAAAGUUUGACUAUAGAAAGGACCGAUUAAAUAGGACAUACUUACUCUCACCAAUAGAGCUUAAUGACAAUAUAUUUUCCAUAAGCCUGCUGAGUAUUUCUCCAACCAGGCAACCAUUCCGUUUCAUGGUCAGUUCCUAUCCAUAGGGACCUACUAAUGUGAAAUUAUUGAGUCUGCAGCCGGCAUUUAACUAUCAUGCAGAGAUCUUUACUAUCGAACCAGGAAACAACUUCAUUUUCUCUGUACCUUGGUCAUUUCCUUGCAUUUUCUGAUAAGCUGCCGUCAAACUUUUCUUCUUUCUUCUUUCUUGCUUUAUAAUUGUUUCCUUCACUUUUCUCUUUCUUAUCUCUGUAUGGUGGUUCAGAGUUGUGCUUCUCUUUCGAAGAUUUUCAGUUCUACUAUUUUAAUCCAUCUCAGUUAUCUGAAAUUAUAAUAUAUUUAAAUUGAAUUCUUUUUCCAAUUUACUUCACAAGUGCUAUGUUUUAAUCCUGAUGGGUAUCCCCUAUGCUUACUGACUGUUCAUUCUCUUACCUGCAGUGAUUCCCAGAUCAUAUUAUUUACCUUCAUUCAGGAAAUAGACUACUACAAGAAAUGACUACGUAUGUUGAGCAGCUCAUUGGUACCGCCACAAGAGUCAAUAUAUUAUUUGUGGAAAUAAGGUGCGAGUUAUUGCAAGGAACUGUCCCAUAAAUAUCAAUUCCUUUCUUGCUGCUACAUGCAUACAGUUGCCAUUCCAUAUAGAUGAAGCAUGUGCAUUUCUUUUUCUCUGUUCUGCUUUCGUUGUUAUAGCAAGAUUUCUAGAAACAUAAGCUCAGCCUAAUUGUUUUACUGGUGCCUUCUCUUUAAUCAUAUAAAUAUUAGAGUCGAUCUCAUCUUAAUUUCCUCCCAUUUAUUUCUUACAGUUUGUUUACUUUUUAACCAUGGCUUCAAGCCUAGCUUUUUAGUGUACAUACUUUUUAACCAUGGCUUCAAGCCUAGCUUUUUAAUGUACAUACCUUGUAUGGACGAGUCAAGGAGGUGCCAUCCGUGAGUUAAGGAAUUCUUUAUGAGCAACGCUCAAUUCUGAAUAUUUAUUCUCUUCCUUUCAAUAUUCAGUCAAGGAAAGCGUAUAACUUAUCUGUCCAUGACAAUGAGGUAUUGAAAGCAAGCGAUUCUCUACUGAAAGUAUGUUGCUCCACAGUAAAUACCUUUAUUCUUCGUGGCCAAGAUUGAUUCUUUUGCACUGCUGGCUGCUUGAUUAUGUUGAAGUGAUUCUUUAUCAGGUCAACUCAAUGGAAUGGUUGGGCAAGGAGGAAGAGGCUCCUGUGGUCGACGUCGUUGGCAGCAGGUUGACGGUGGCAUUCAGCUCACGGAGGCAGGUCGACGUGGGUGACCACCUGGAGCAACUCGCACAUCAAAAAGAUGCACCAGGGUACAGAGGAGCUAAAGGACACACUGGUAUGACACAAAGCUCACUGGAACUGUCGGAAACGUCACCGGAGUGCUGUCGGAGUUGGAGAAGAUGAUGCCUGAUCUCCUCGGUUACUACGAGAUGGAGUAGGAAAUGAGGUCCCUGAGGAUCAGAGAAGCAUGGGCAACAAAAAUGAUUCAGGCAGGUUCCUCUGACCUUUCCUGUAGGAUGCUCACUUGCGGCAAUGGCGUGAAUGGCAGCUUGGGCGAUUUGGGGUUUGCAGAGGUCCGGGGAAGAGAGGAAAAGGAGAGCUAGGUCACGGGGAAGGUUUUUAAAGGUGAAGGGGGCGGUGUGGAUGGCCUAGUCAUCGAUGAACCGCGAGCAUCCUGCCGCUGCGCUGCCCGGUGGAGUGGUGCCACGAGGAAGACGACUGACUGAGGAGAGAGAAGUGCUUCUCCUGUUCCAUAAAUUAAUUGAGUACAAGGAAAAGGAUCGGAGGGGAUUCACUAGAACAUAAUACGUUAUUUCCUUUCCUGUUGUUUCUAAUUCACACAAGUUUCUGCCUAACAACUAAUGAGCAUAUAGUUGUUAUAUGAAUUGUGACAACCUGCAGUUUCAAUUUUACGGGUGCUUAUUAUUAGAUAAAGUAGUAAUAUGUAAAUUUCAUGGGAAGCUUAUUAAUUGCGAAUUUUUAGAUACUGUAUUAUUUUUCGGCAGAUGUCUAUAUUUUGUACUUCCUCUGGUGUUGUAGGCCAUUGCUGCAUCGAAACAAUAGUGCAUUCCCAUAAAGUACUGAUCCGGUGUUUGGUCGAAUUUGAAUUGAUGUAGCUUUACCAAACUACUCAUACUAUUAUUUAGUAAUUAUAUAUUGAUAUGUCUAGGUAAUAAUCUUUAGCAAGAUUAGUUCUUCCUUUAAAGAUUUCGUACAUUCCUUACCAAGAUUCUAUUUUUCUAACAUUGAUGCAAAUGUAAUUGACUUGUAGUAUUCCAUAGGGACUAGAUAUUUCGAUGAAAUUGCAGAUCGAUGACAAGUGAAAUUCCUAGGGGUUCCUUGGUAUGCGCAACUGUUUUGUUCAGACUGUAACAACUUCAAACUGAAAAUUUUGUCUACUUUUGAUUAUUGAUACCCCAUACUGUUGGCAUCUGCACCAGUAUGGCAUCUCUGUUGUUGCUCUUGAAAUUACCAAGUACAGUUCCAUCCAAACCCAACCUUGGAAGUAUAAUUGGCUCAUGUUUAUGCUGAUGCUUACUGAGUGAGACUCCUCUUUCUAACCAUUAUUAUUAUGACAUUGUAUUGAAUGUUCUCCAGGGAUGUCUCAUUUAACUACAUAGUUCACACAUAGCCUGUUUCUUUUCUGCAAUCAUUGGUACUCCAGGAUUUCCUCUUCAUUGGCUUGUUAAACUGCAGGUGCAGGUCAUUGAAAUGUCCCUGUGAAUCCAUUAGAAACACGCAUGCUAAAGUGGGAACAGAAAAGAGUGAUGGUUCCAGGCUUAAGUCCUCGGUGAAGAAAGCUAUGUUGGAUGUUGGGUGCAGAGACCAAGAACAAAAAGGAUUAGCUCUGUGCUCACAGGAUGGCGACGAAUAAUGACAUGGCAGCCCCUCCUACGAGUGCUGGACUAGACUGCAUACAGGUGCUGCUUCGUCAGGUCAAUUCUUCCACGCAAGACGGGGAGGCCUUCAUCGAGCUUCAUGGAACCCUUCGCUGCUCCUUGCUUCUUCCGGCGGUUCUCAUGAUUUCGUGUGUAUUAUCCUAAUUUGAUCCUAUAGACUUUGUUUUGUAAAAUCAGAGAAACCUAUUACCAUUUUU